UAUUGAUCUCCAGCGUUCCACUGGAGGUUGAGGCAUAAACAGUACAUUUGAACAAAAAUAGAACCAAUAUUUACAAUUAUUGUAUUAAAAAUACAAAAAAAACAACAGAUACAUACUUCAUCAACUGUCUUUUUAAAAGACAUACAUGUGGAAGUAUCACGAGAAAUGAUGCGGGGGACAGUUAAAUGUACAUCGUCUUUGACAUCAGUCAUUAAACACACUUCUACCACUAGGCUGACGAGCUGUGAUCUACGCCUGAUUAGAGCUGGGACAGAUUAGAGCUUGGACUGAUUUGAGUGGGACUGAUUAGAGUGGGACUAUGCAGAGAUUAGAGUGGAAAUCGACUAGAGUGAGAUUAGAGUGGGACUAUGCAGAGAUUAGAGUGAGAUUAGAUUAGAGUGGGACUAGAUUAGAGUGGACUUUCAGAGAUUAGAGCUGGGAACACAUUGGGAUCAGUGAUGGGAUUAAUCUGGAAUUAGCACUGAGAAUUUGAUUGGUUGAUCACUUGGAUUAUCAUAUUAAGGGAUUCUUUUAGGGAUUAGCGGUGGGUCUGUGGAGGGAUUAGCAAUGUUAUUAGCACUAGGAUUAUGAGGGUAUUAGCUUUGAGAUUAGCAUUGGAAGUAUGAAAGGGUUAGCAUUGGAUAGGUUUUGGGUCUAUGAAGGGAUUAGCAUUAGGGUAUUGAUCGGAUAAGAAUUGGGAUUAGCAUUGGGGUAUUGAAAGGAUUAGCAUUGGGAUUAGCAUUCGGGUAUUGACAGGAUUAGCAGUGGGAUUGAGUGAGGAUUAGCAGUGGGAAUAGCAGUGGGAUUAGCAUUUGGGAUUAUCAUAAGGAUAUUGAAGGGAUUAUCAAUGGGAUUAGCAGUGGGACUAGCAUGGGGAUUAGCAGUGGGAUUAGCAUGGGGAUAAUGUAGGGAUGACCGCUCAACCGGCGUCUGCGCUCUCCUUGUUGUGCAAGUUGUUUAUCGAACGGGUGCUAAUAUACACAUGAUCUCACCACGGUUUACAAACGCAUCAUUUUACCCACAAUCCAUCGGCAGCCAUUACAAAAAAUGACAAUAACAAAGUCAGAGAAAUAAUCCAAAACCUUUGAGAGCUUCCUUCAGGAAACUCUUCUUCUUCUUCAUUUACCGGAGCCUCCGACGCUGGUCAAUGUGACCGGCGGCCGAGGGGUCAGCGGGGGUCACCGCAGUGGUCAACAGGGGUCGCCUGGGGUCAUCAGGGGUCACCGCUGGUUCACCUCAGAGGUCAUCGACCCUGAAGACAAGGACCGGGUUGAGGACCAGGACCGGGUUGAGGACCAGGACCCUGAAGACCAGGACCGGGGCGAGGACCAGGACCGGGUUGAGGACCAGGACCCUGAAGACCAGGACCGGGUGAGGACCAGGACCGGGUGCAGAGGCGCAGUAACGCGACUCUGUGCUUUGACCUUCAUCAGUCGAUUAAAAACAUUGAGUUUGGAACAGCGUUGGAUCACGCUGACCUCUGACCUCACGCUGACCUCUGACCUCACGCUGCUGUGCUGAAAGUGCCAUUUGAUCCGUGGUUGUGGUCCAGUGUGUGCGUUUUAAUCUGUGUGCGUGUGCUAUUGUGUAUGUUGAUGUGUGUGUUGUGUGUCUUGAUGUGUGUUGAUGUGUGUUGAUGUGUGCGUGUGUGUAUGUGUUUUUGUAAUAAUACUGGUCUGGUGUUGGGGGGGGGGGUGUCUCUCAGAGUCCAAGAAGAGAGACAAGCCGAGGGGGACGGGACAGGAAGUAAGACAGGAAGUUGGGUUUUGUUCUCGUACUAAAACACAAAGUGCAGAUGAGGCUCAACACGUCAGUUCAAUUUAUUCAGCGUCCGUCGCCAAUGGCAACAGUCGGUUGUGUCCGUUACUAAUGGCAACCAGGGCUCCCACUCUCUAACAGGAAGCCUCCCUCUCUCUAACAGGAAGUCUCCGUCCAAAGUGCCAGAAGUCCGUCGUCUUCACAGUAGAGAUGCUUUAAGGCAGGGGGCGGGGCCGGCGGCAGCUCCACCAAUCAGAGGCCGCAGGCACGUACGUAACUGAUGAUGAGUCUAUUGGUCCUUCUACACGUCAGUCUCUCUGACCCCGCCCCUUUCUACUGGGCGGAGCCUCUCAUCACUGCAGGAAGACCCGCCCCCUUCAGACUGCAGACACCUGUUCAUCG
ensembl:lncRNA